AUGGAGUGUGGGGCAGAUUGGAGCAAGUGCGGCCUAGUUACGAGCUACUUCCUGUUUAGUGGUGAGCCACGGCGGCGUGCAUGUUGGCCGGGGUGGAAACGCGCUCUGGCCGACAGUCGGAGCAUGCGUGUAAAAUUUCAGGCCGAUUGGAGCACAGACACAGCACGU